rnacentral:lncRNA from 1 species
CUCCUGCAUUUUCACUAGCUCGUGUCACAAAAGGAUACUUCACAAUGAAAAUUCAAUCGGCAAUCAUGGGUUACACAUCUUUUUUUUUUUUUAAUUCACCAAUGUUUUAAUGCUUUCAGAGUUUUCCACCUGGAACGUUGCAAAUGUUGCAAUUAAUACAAGGUAAAAUUAUAUACAUUGUAGACAUCAGCCAAGUAAACAACAAUGCAUACCAUUCACAAGAACAGUAAAGACUUAAAGAACUUAAGUUUUUAAACUUAAAUAACUGUAGAAUAAAGACUCCUACUUACAUGAUUUUGAAAGGUCUGAAUGAGUUGUAAAAUAGUCACUGUGGAGUUAAGGAUUAAAGAGGCAGAAACCAAAAAUGUUUUUAACAUAGUGAGAAAUGAUGGGAGUUGGAGAGAAAUAUAAAUGGACUGCCUUCUUGUAUACAUUGUUAUCCCAUUCUUAUUUGGUACAUUAUAAGAUGGCACAUUCCAAACCUUACAUGCAGAAAUGAGUCUUUUUCAAUCCUUUACAUCAAUAUAUUCCUAUGUAUAUCAAUUUAAAAUGUUUAUUGUCCUAAACUCAGUCAAGGUACAGCAUGAUUUUAACAAGAAUCUGUUAUUGAACUGUUAGGUCACAGUAUAACUGAUUUAAUGUAGAACAAGUAGUUCUCAUUUCUUUACUAGUUGCUCUAUUCUUUCUCGUCCACGAUGAGUACAGUAUGUGUAGUUAUUCCUAUGUCAGCCAGUGACCAGCCUCCCUUUACUUCCAGAAGUCUUCUGGGAAAGGAAGUGAAAAGGCUAUAUAGAGAUGUGUGGUACCCAAUUUUCAUCAACCAGGCAAAUAAAACCUGUGAACUGCAAGACUUAAAAAACCUUCUCCUCAGGACUCUCCCAUUUGGACAUCAAAGAGCAACAGUAACUACUUCUUUAGCUGUUUCAGAAGGUUCUUCAGGAUUGAACUCGGGACCUUGUGCUUGCGAGGCAGGAGCCGGAACCACUGAGCUAAAUCCCUGGCCCUUAAUACCCUCAAUUAAUGUAAACAUUAUAUGCUACAAACAUGAG